rnacentral:lncRNA from 12 species
UAGUCUCUUAAAAUGAUUUUUGAAUAGUUUAGGUAAUAAUUAUUGACCUAAUAAUGACCUCAGAAGCUGACUGAUUACUUUGGAUAUCUUAGGUAUCAACAACAUUAACAUGAAACAGGUUACCAUUAAAGUCGAACAAAUUAAUUGUGUCAGAGUGCUGGAUCAGGAUUGAAUAAACUACAUUCCACAGGAAGCGUAUCUUCAGCUGUGAGCCUUUGCUCUAGCUUCUUGACUUCCACAUCACCUCCAGUUUUCUCUUAAUUGCGAACAAGACCUGAGACUCCCUAAGGGUAAGCACUGGAACUUUCACCUUUUAACUGUUUAUGGAUUCUGUUAUAAUAUUUUGGGUAUAAUGGGUUAUCCAUUGACUCUGAGUAAAAGAACAACUAUACACGAGUGAAUAAAUUGAUGAAACUAAGAUAUCUAAUGUGUCAAUGGAUAUGUCAGAAUCAGGUUUAAAAUUGCAGAGUUUCAGAUUUUGAGUCAAGAGUGCCAGAAUUUGUUGCCAGGAAGAAGGUCCCAGAGCAGAUCAGAUUUACCAUCUCAAAACUCUAGCACAAGCAGCUAUUUCAAUCUCUUUUAGAUUUAUUAUUUUUCUUAUUUCAAAUAAU